AGCCUGCACUUCCUUCUGGAGCACACACACUGUUCACACCAGUUCCUGGGAGCAUCUGUGCCUGUCCCUCCAAUCUGUCACGUGGCUGCCUCCUGACACCUAGAAGCUGAAGAAUGAAGAAGACACAGAGUUGGUUUUCAGUGAGACUUGAGAGGGUGAAGGGGAAGUUUUCCCCUGGUCCCUACGGCUUUGGCGCUGUAAGCUGAACAACCGAAUCCACUCUGCUCUUCUGGAAGCAGCAGCCCAGGGAUCCCGGGACCGGAUAAGCUGGACGCUCCGUCUCUCUUUGUGGAAUCCAGUCUAGCAGAUGAGUUGAGAAAACUUUCUUAAAGCUAUUUUAUAGCUUUACAACAAUUCGGUAAAGUAUACUUCUGUGAGCAAAACUGAAACAUUUACCUUUCUCCUUACUUGGUCCCUCCAAAAUCCAGAAACUAAUUGUGAGUAUUCUCAUUUUAUGGCAAUAUAGUUAUUUGCAUAAGUUCAAAAAGAAUCUGUUCUCUUUUGUAAUGGAGAACAAUUGGAGACACUGGUUAUUUUACCAAGACUUUGUAUGGAUUGUCUUAUUAUCACAUAUGACCAGACAGCUUUAAGGAACUGAGGUUAACAUUAUGAAGCCAAUAUAAGCCCUUGGAAAGACUGGCCUGAUACCUUAAAUAUAUGGGUCACAUGGUUGCCUGUGACAAGCAAAGAAUGUCACUUUAUAAUAGGCCUGGGAACCUCAGGAUAUUUUGAGGACCUCAAGAAGAGAGGAAUUCCUCCAACUGAUGCAGAUAUUACAGACACAAUCUGUGGAUAGUCAAAUCCUUGGCCUGGCUGUCUAGCCUUUAGAUGUUUUUAAAAGUCUAAUCUGAGGUUUCUUAUGAAAAGUUCCAGCAAAGCCAAUUUAAAACAAUCUAUAUGAUAAAUCACUAUUCCUAGUGCUCUUUAUGCAAAUAGUCAGGCCAAGUUAAUGAAAGUAAACUUAUUUUACAAACAAAUUAGUCUUGUCAUAAAUA